rnacentral:lncRNA from 1 species
UCGAACCAAUCCAUAAAGGAAAAUAGUUGUCUCAACAAUUAAAGUAAAUAAAUAAAUCAUAAUUCAUAUUUUAUCAGUAGGCGGUGGCAUGCUAAACAUUGUUGCUGGUUCAGCUUGUUGUGGAAACAUGCUGACUUGACUCCAUACGAACUUAUGCAUUAGUGUCUCAAAUUGAAAAAUCUUGACACGCAUAUCCAAUAAUUUUUGCCCUUGCUUUUGUAUUUUCUCUCGAAGGGCUAUUAAUUUAGUAUCAACCGAUGUCAAAUAAGCAGAGUGGCUUGAGAUAGGUUUUGGAUAUGUCCAAGUCCUUUAAUGUAACCUCUAGAUUUUUCCAAAACUUCUUGCAUAAUCUCAAGUUCAGUGGGGGGCUCAGAUUUCUCUAGAAUAGAUUGCUCAUUAAUUUGAAGCAUCCUUUCCUAUAUAUAAGUAAAGAAAAAGAAGAGAGAAUACAUGUUAAAGACAGAAUAUAUAUAAAAUGUCAAUAACAACGAAUAAAUUGUUAAUAUACUUACAUAUCUUUUUCGUAUUUCAUCAUUUACCCACCAUUUCUUCUCACUGUAACUAGUCUCAUAAUAAAGUUCUAUUUCUCCUUGUGCAUUGUCUUUAGUAAUUGAUCUCGAUUUGAAAUAAUAUAUAUCAAGUUACACAAAUAUAGGCUUCAUAAAACAAAAGAAAGUAUUACCUUUUCUUGAGGACGUGCAACAAAUGAUUUUGACCCACCACAAUGAUUAUAUUUAAUGCAGUUGUGACUUGCUAGAUUACGUGUAGAUAGUGCAUGUAAUUAAUUUAUAUGUAAAUAUAAUUAACUCAUUAUAAUUUAUUAUUUUUAAUUAUAUUAAUUAUUUUAAGAUAAUAUCUAAAUUAUAUUAUUCUUAAUAUUUACAAGUAUAUGCAUUUUAAUUAAAGUUACCUGAAAUUAAGGGAUAGAUCAAUAUUGACACAACCAGUCCCAAUCAACUUGCUUUAUGUCAGUCGGGCAGUUCUUCAUUGCGUCAUCUAAUGUUUUUCCAUUGAAAUAUUUCUCUUUGAGUCUACAUCUAUAAUCACGAUAUCUUCUUGCUAAAGUAUUGUUCACACAUUUAUGGACAUGUUCAACUGUCAAAUCAAGCUUGAAUUUU